UUUCGAUGCCCUGCCCCUGCCCUUGCCCUUGCCCCCAGUAAGCCCUAGGGGCUGAAUUUUUUGCCAUAUCUAGUCCCCAAUUUCCAAAACCCUAAUAGAAACAGCAUCGAGCUUCCACUUUCAAAUCUCCUCCUCCAGCGCUACCACUAUCUCCUCCUCAGCUGUAUCAUAAUCGCCUAAUACGAAGAAGAAGAUAUCGACCAGAGAGUUAGCUUGCUCCUACGACGAUGGCAUCCCAAUCACUGUAUGAAUUAUUAUUUUCUAUUUUUCUUUAUUAUCUCCUCUACUAUGUACAGUUUAUUUUAACAAAUUUCUUGUAAAGAAAUUAUUUUUUCCUGGAUAAGUGUUGCGAAUAAAUUGAAGGCAAAUUUUUCAAAAUGACUUUUAGAAUGAGUAUAGCAAGAGAAUGUUUGGCUAAUCUUAAAAACUUCGUUAUAAAUAAAUAAGUAAGGGAGACAGUAUCUUCCUAGCUUAAUGCUUACAAGAAAUUUUUUUCCUUUCCUUCAUUUGUAGUGGAGAUAGUAUGUCCAUAUUUGCGGAAGCCUUAUGAUAUUCCACUUGAUGUAGUUUUUAGGUGUUGUUCCACAUGGCCUCAUUGUACCUUAUUCAAAUUUUAAUCUACGAGGGUGUUUGAUUGCAUUAAUUUUUCUUGGAAAAUAUCAGCGUUUCACCCAAAUUCUUACUUUUGGAUGUUUGAUUGCUAUUUUUUCGUUGAAAAUAUUUUCCAACUUUUGAAAAUAUGUCCAAUUUUCCUUGUUUUUAAGGAAAAUAUUUUCUAUAGGGGAGUGAUUUUUGUUUUCCUCAAAACAAGGAAAUAUUUUCUUUGCUAGGUCAUAUUUCCAUGCCAAUCAUACACACUCUACAUGUAGUGUAUAGUGUAAAACUCUUCACCCAAGUUUGACAAGAAACUUGAAAAUUCAUAAUUGAGCUUUGAUGAAUUUUUUAAGAAAGGUAAGUAAUUUCGACAAUUAAGUUUUCCAAAGUUUGGAAUCGAAGAUAUAGUGAAAAUUAACUUUGAGUAUAAGCUUUUAGCCAAACAUGCUCUAAAAUAGUCGUGCUAUCAUUCUUUUUGUUUUGUUUUGUUUUGUUUUGUUUUUUUUUUUUUUUAAAGGGUAAAAUGUCCUAGAUAUCACAACCCUAACUUCUUCUUUGAAGUAGUCAAAUCCACCAUGAUCAGGUCAAAAUCAAUCCUCAUUUUCUAUGACAUUGUGAAAUCAACGCAACAAGAAUCACAUUAGGGAUAGGAUGUAGGGGUGGAGAGAACCUAUGUGGCAUAAUGGGGUGGAAGGAGGGAAGGGGCCAUCAUACUUGUGGAGACAAGAUGGAAGUAGCUUGGAGAGGAGUGGGCAACAUAAUUGGAAAAGAGGGGUGACAGGACCACCAGGGGCUUGGGGCUGUCUGUAAGAGGAAGAAGAUGAGACUAUUAUGGAUUUUGAGAAAUAUAAGAUUGUUUUUAAAGAAACUUUGUGCAUGUCUUUUUUUCAUAACAAAGCUUAAUUCAGGCAUUUUUAUGUAAAUUCCUCGUAACCAAAUAGACAGAGAAGAUUGCUAUUCUUUUGAAAGCGACAAACAUAAGUAUCGAGUCCUACCAGCCUAGUUUGUUCGCUAAGCUCAAGGAAAAAAGAAAACAUCGAAAACCUGAUCACCAGCGUUGGUGCAGGUGGCAAUGGUGCCACAGUCGCUGUAGCUGCUCCUACUGGCGCUAGUAGUGGUGGUGGUGGUGGUUCUGUUGCUGCAGCUCAUCCUUCAGAGGAGAAGAAGGAGAGCCAAAGGAGGUGAGAGAUUAAGACAUGGGAUUCAAUCUGUUCGAUUAGAAGGAUAUUCAACAUUUAUCGCAAUGUGGUUUAGAAGUGAUAGUUAUGUACCUAGUGGUUUUCUAUGUAUAUUGUUACAAAUUAUAAGCACCAUUUGGGACUUUGGCUAUAUUCCGAUUUCUAUUUUUUAUUUUCUAA